UUCGUUUUAGCUACCACCGGA
rnacentral:piRNA from 1 species